UACAGGGGGUGCAAACGUUGCUCGGAAUCAUUGGGCGUAAAGGGCUCGUAGGCGGUCUGUUGCGUCGGGAGUGAAAACUUACAGCUUAACUGUGAGCGUGCUUCCGAUACGGGCAGACUAGAGGUAUGCAGGGGAGAACGGAAUUCCUGGUGUAGCGGUGAAAUGCGCAGAUAUCAGGAGGAACACCGGUGGCGAAGGCGACUACCUGGCCUGUUCUUGACGCUGAGGCGCGAAAGCUAGGGGAGCAAACGGG
rnacentral:rRNA from 1 species